rnacentral:rRNA from 1 species
UACAGAGGUCUCGAGCGUUAGGCGGAAUCACUGGGCUUAAAGCGUGUGUAGGCGGAUUGCUAAGUACCUUAUGAAAUCCCACGGCUUAACCGUGGAACUGCUUGGUAUACUGGCUGUCUUGAGCCACUUAGGGGCGACCGGAACAAACGGUGGAGCGGUGAAAUGCGUAGAGAUCAUGAGGAAGACCAGUGGCGAAGGCGGGUCUCUGGACAGUUCCUGACACUGAGGCACGAAGGCCAGGGGAGCAAACGGG